rnacentral:rRNA from 1 species
AUUGAACGCUGGCGGCAGGCCUAACACAUGCAAGUCGAACGGUAACAGGAAGCAGCUUGCUGCUUUGCUGACGAGUGGCGGACGGGUGAGUAAUGUCUGGGAAACUGUCUGAUGGAGGGGGAUAACUACUGGAAACGGUAGCUAAUACCGCAUAACGUCGCAAGACCAAAGAGGGGGACCUUAGGGCCUCUUGCCAUCGGAUGUGCCCAGAUGGGAUUAGCUAGUAGGUGGGGUAACGGCUCACCUAGGCGACGAUCCCUAGCUGGUCUGAGAGGAUGACCAGCCACACUGGAACUGAGACACGGUCCAGACUCCUACGGGAGGCAGCAGUGGGGAAUAUUGCACAAUGGGCGCAAGCCUGAUGCAGCCAUGCCGCGUGUAUGAAGAAGGCCUUCGGGUUGUAAAGUACUUUCAGCGGGGAGGAAGGGAGUAAAGUUAAUACCUUGGCUCAUUGACGUUACCCGCAGAAGAAGCACCGGCUAACUCCGUG